AGUCAACUCCAUGGAAAGGUUGGCCAAGGGACCACCAGAUGCUAAGACAGAGGUCUGCAACACAUCCUACCAUGGUGACUUCGGAGGGAAGGAAGCUCUUAGGACACCUCUUUCUCAGAUUUCUCUAGCCUACAGAACUACCUGUGACAACAUCAUCACAGAGCAGUCUGGACCGGCAUUUGAGAAGCCCUACUGCAGCUGACGGCGCUCCGCCAGCAAGGGACCAGAAUAGAAAUGGAUGGUGCUGUUUCCGGAGGGAAUUCCUAAGUUUAUAUCAGAAAUUAUAUGACUCAUUUUAUUUUAAGUUAACUCCACAUCCAGCAUGGAGCGCAACGUGGGGCUUGAACACACAAUCCUGAGAUCAAGACUGAAGCUGAGAUCAAGAACCAGACACUUAACCAACUGAGCCACCCAGAGCUGCUCUACCGACUUUUCCCCUCCUAAAGUUUUCGUGCGAUUUUGUGCUGAUACAUGGACUCAACGAUCCAGGAAGUUGCCUGUACCUUGGGAGCUCCAUUUAGCUUCACAGGGUCAGGGCCACCCCACCCGGCCCUCUCAGAGGAGGGUGCCUACGGCCAACUCUCUGGAUGGCCUGGGGGCAGCGGGACACUCAACGGGCCCAGACUGCUCCUCUCAUACCAGUUGGGACCCACUGAGGAUGCGAUCCAGAUCUCAGAGCAUCAGUGGCAAUCAGAACAACACCACUGGCAGGUCACUACAUACCCUGCCUGGAUGGUGAGAAACUUGAAGCCUUAAUUUCUUCGCUGGCAGGGAUUCCACAGUCUCUCUUCCAUUGGAUCUCAGCAGGACCAAGACAUUAAAGCUUGCUUGUGUUUGUAUCCAGAUGGUGUGAAUCUGUAACGCCAUGUAAAUAGACUAAUCUGGAAGAGAAUCUGUUUUGCAUCCCCAUCAUCAGA